AGAAGAGCUGCUGGAGAACACAGCCGGUGCAGAAGACACACUCAAAAAUAGAAAGCUCUACCCUUGAACUAUGAACUCUCUUUGAAGGAAGUUAUAAAGUCUUUAAAUUUGGAACCUUGAAAUAUGAACUAGAAAAAUUUGCAAACCAGAAAACAAUUACUUUGUGUACUUUCAGUAUGAACUUAGGGUUUCUAAGGUCGUUAACACAGAAAUGUGUAGAACAAGGCUAAAGAAUGAAGCAAGAGACGACAGCACCCAGCAAGACUAAGCAAGCUGCUCACACACAGUCUGUUGCAUGGUCGACUUUUAAGAAGCUAUACAAAGCUUGGAAAACUUAAUUAUUUAAAUGUAAUGCAGAGCCAGUGCAGCUGAAUUCUGCCUGACACAGAACAAGAUGAAAACGUUUUUAUAUCUUGGACUUUCCACAACACAGUUCGGACUCUGCUGAGAAGAACCACUGCUGCUACAGACUGCUAUUUUGUACAGGGCAUAUUAAGUAAAAACGAAUUAUAACAGUUUGACAAGACCUUGGAGGAUGUACUAACUGAUCGCUGUUCCCGAGGAAGCUGGAUAUAAGAACAUGGUGAUUUGAAGGCUGUAGCAAUGGCUCAGUGGGUAAGAGCACUGGCUGCUGUUGCAGAGGACCUGGCUUCUCUUCCCAGCACCCACACAGCAGUUCAUAACCAUCUCGAACUCC